rnacentral:rRNA from 1 species
AUUGAACGCUGGCGGCAUGCCUUACACAUGCAAGUCGAACGGUAACAGGUCUUCGGAUGCUGACGAGUGGCGAACGGGUGAGUAAUACAUCGGAACGUGCCCGAUCGUGGGGGAUAACGAAGCGAAAGCUUUGCUAAUACCGCAUACGAUCUACGGAUGAAAGCAGGGGACCGCAAGGCCUUGCGCGAACGGAGCGGCCGAUGGCAGAUUAGGUAGUUGGUGGGAUAAAAGCUUACCAAGCCGACGAUCUGUAGCUGGUCUGAGAGGACGACCAGCCACACUGGGACUGAGACACGGCCCAGACUCCUACGGGAGGCAGCAGUGGGGAAUUUUGGACAAAGGGCGAAAGCCUGAUCCAGUCAUGCCGCGUGCAGGAUGAAGGCCUUCGGGUUGUAAACUGCUUUUGUACGGAACGAAAAGACUCUGGUUAAUACCUGGGGUCCAUGACGGUACCGGAAGAAUAAGCACCGGCUAACUACGUG